UACGGAAGGCAGCAGUGGGGAAUAUUGCACAAUGGGCGCAAGCCUGAUGCAGCCAUGCCGCGUGUAUGAAGAAGGCCUUCGGGUUGUAAAGUACUUUCAGUCGUGAGGAAGGUGUUAAGGUUAAUAACCUUAGCAAUUGACGUUAGCGACAGAAGAAGCACCGGCUAACUCCGUGCCAGCAGCCGCGGUAAUACGGAGGGUGCGAGCGUUAAUCGGAAUUACUGGGCUAAAGGGCACGCAGGCGGUUAAUUAAGUUGGAUGUGAAAUCCCCGGGCUUAACCUGGGAAUGGCAUUCAAGACUGGUUAGCUAGAGUCUUGUAGAGGGGGUAGAAUUCCAUGUGUAGCGGUGAAAUGCGUAGAGAUGUGGAGGAAUACCGGUGGCGAAGGCGGCCCCUGGACAAAGGACUGACGCUCAUGUGCGAAAGCGUGGGGAGCAAAC
rnacentral:rRNA from 1 species